ensembl:lncRNA
AUGGAACGGGUGGUGGUGGAGGUGCCGAUCAACAACGGUUUUUCCCUCGCCGGCCCUUCCUCAACCCCACGUAAGCGCCAGGUGCGUUUUUCAGCACGGCAUGACAUCAUCCUUCUGCGGGAGGUCAUCGCCCAGAACCCCUUUGCCUCCAAAGAGCCAGGGCGAAUCUGGGCCCGUGUGGGAGAGAUUAUCACUGCAGCCCUCCAGGAUGAAAACUUUGAGGUGGAUGCCAGGAGGUGUAGAGAGAGGACCAUGCUGCUGCUCGACUACUAUAAGAAACAAGACUUUCCCAGUCUGCGCAGAUUUGGAACAGAGAGACUGUACGCCCAAAAGGAGGAUCUUCUCCAUGAGGUUCUGGAGCUGGAGGCUGAGAAGGGGCUCCUUGCCAGCGGGGAAAGCACUAAGUAUCAGGAGGAUGACCUGAGAAAGCGAGCCAUGGAAGAACUAAAUCUGCCAGAGCAGGACAAACCCAACAUCACAAUCACUCAAACAGCCACUGCAGCAGAACCAGAAGAAGAUCGUGAGGAAAUGGCAGAGCUUUCAGCUGCGCCCAUGGCCAAGCGGCCCUGCCAGUGCUGCUGCCAGACCUACUCUGAGAUUCUCAGCUUCCUGGAGAAACGCUCCGAGGCAGAGCAGCGGCUGCGUGAGGAGGAGCUCGCUCUGCGCAGGGAGGAGCUGGAGAUUCAAAGGAGUAAGAUUUGUGGAGAGAUUUAUAGUGUGAUUUCAACCUGAAAAGGGGUUGAAAAUAUUUGACCUUGCUACGUUGUAGGUGCCAUUUUUGGUUUACUUUUAUCUUGUAAAGUGAGCCUGAGAAUCAGUCUGAAUUUCCAUUUCAUUUAUAAAAUCUGAAAUUUGGACAAUAAUUCAUGGGUCUCUCUCCCUUUUUAUUUUGUACUCGCAGGUAAGAUCGCUCUGGAGAGGGAACGUUUGGGAGCUGAGAGAAAAGAGAGGGAACGCAGAUUUGAGCUGGAGAGCCAAGAGAGGCAGGUCAUCUUGGACCUGCUAAAAGAGAAGGUGCUGAAAGGCUGACAGAGUAGAAAUGUAUCACCUGCAUUUUAACGAAAUCUUGAAAAAUAAAAAAAAUAAAACAAAGCAUGAAAUACAGGGGGAAAAUGUGGUUGACUCCUUUAAAAAGAGGAUGGAAACCGGGAAACGAGAAGUAGAAUUAUCAGUGGUUGUUGGUUGUAUAUGUGAGGGUCACUGAUCUGGUAAAAUAACAAAGUCGGAUCAAAGAUGGUUUGAAAUGCAAGGCAGUAAUGCAGAAUUUGCAUGUGUCAAACUGCGGACGCUGCUGACAGCGUUUAAAAGCCGCAAAAACCAGCUUAUCAUUAGGUAGAUGCCAACAAGCUCACAGUCUUCAUUACUCACCCGAGCUUCACCUGAGAAAUGGAAUGCCAGCACGGAUGUGGUGUGGCGUGUUAGAUGUGAAAAAGGAACAGGUACACAGGUAAACAGGUACUGAACUAAAUCAGAUGAUUGCACUUCCUCGUGUGACACCAGCAGCAGUCUGAUUAUAUGAGCCCUGUUCACAUGUAGUAGACAGCAUUCGUUGUGCUUCUAGGAUAGAAUAAAUGGAGCAACAACUGAGAAAAGUUGUAUAAUUAGACAACUGACAUUUAGUGCAGUUCAAGCAUUUUGAAAAUCCCUGUAGUAACAUGUUAAUGUUUCUACACGCUUUUUCAGCUACUUCUUUUUUGACAUUUUGAUUGAAAAUUAACUAAAGCUAUAUUUACUGACUGUGAAUCCACUGUACAUUGCUAGUAAGCACUUUUCUACUGCAGACAAAAAAGCCAUUAAGUGUGUGCCUGUAUUCUUUAGAUGAUACAGAAACCAUUGACAUGAAGUUAUAAUGUCAAAUGUGCUACAUUCCUUUUGCUUUUAGAAAGCUAUUGGUCACAUUUGUGUUGACCUCCUCAGUUUAUAGUUUCAUUAAUUUGGUGUUAUAAUUAAAUAUAUAAACAUGACAGAAGCCGUUUUUAUGAAAUGUUCCAAUGAUUUACAGACAUCUUUACUGCUCAUGAUUUAUUAUCUGACUUUUAUUACAUUACUAUUGCUACUGUGAUACUGAUACUGUGAUUUAUACUGUUCAUUCAAAAUACUUUGCAUUAAAAUGCUAGUUCUCUCAGCACAGGCAUAGCCUUCAUUGUAUACUAUGAAAGCAUGUAAAUAAAAUUGUAGGCAAUUGGACUUGUUUCAGUAGCCUACAAUAUAGCACCUGGAUGAGACCUUCAUCAACAUGUAAAGAACAUUUGCUCACCUAAAAAGUUUAUCAUUUUUAUUCUGAAAAUAAAAAUCAUUGUAAAUUGAGUCUGUGUAGAUUUAUCGGGAUCAUGGCCA